rnacentral:rRNA from 1 species
CAGCAGCCGCGGUAAUACGUAGGGUGCAAGCGUUAAUCGGAAUUACUGGGCGUAAAGCGUGCGCAGGCGGUUCGGAAAGAAAGGUGUGAAAUCCCAGGGCUUAACCUUGGAACUGCACUUUUAACUACCGGGCUAGAGUGUGUCAGAGGGGGGUGGAAUUCCGCGUGUAGCAGUGAAAUGCGUAGAGAUGCGGAGGAACACCGAUGGCGAAGGCAGCCCCCUGGGAUAACACUGACGCUCAUGCACGAAAGCGUGGGGAGCAAACAGGAUUAGAUACCCCUGUAGUCCCUGUCUCUUAUAC